rnacentral:rRNA from 1 species
UCGAGGGGUAACAGGGUGCUUGCACCGCUGACGACCGGCGCACGGGUGCGUAACGCGUAUACAAUCUACCUUAUAGAGGGGAAUAGCCCAGAGAAAUUUGGAUUAAUGCCCCAUAGUAUUAUUGAAUAGCAUUAUUUAAUAAUUAAACAUUUAUGGCUAUAAGAUGAGUAUGCGUUCUAUUAGCUGGAUGGUAAGGUAACGGCUUACCAUGGCUACGAUAGAUAGGGGUCCUGAGAGGGAGAUCCCCCACACUGGUACUGAGACACGGACCAGACUCCUACGGGAGGCAGCAGUGAGGAAUAUUGGACAAUGGGCGAGAGCCUGAUCCAGCCAUGCCGCGUGCAGGAAGACGGCCCUAUGGGUUGUAAACUGCUUUUACAGAGGAAGAAACACCCCGACGUGUCGGGACUUGACGGUACUCUGCGAAUAAGGAUCGGCUAACUCCGUGCCAGCAGCCGCGGUAAUACGGAGGAUCCAAGCGUUAUCCGGAAUCAUUGGGUUUAAAGGGUCCGUAGGCGGGACAAUCAGUCAGCGGUGAAAGUCUGUGGCUCAACCAUAGAAUUGCCAUUGAUACUGUUGUUCUUGAAUACUUAUGAAGUGGUUGGAAUAUGUAGUGUAGCGGUGAAAUGCAUAGAUAUUACAUAGAACACCGAUUGCGAAGGCAGAUCACUAAUAAUUUAUUGACGCUGAUGGACGAAAGCGUAGGUAGCGAACAGGAUUAGAUACCCUGGUAGUCUACGCCGUAAACGAUGGUUACUAGCUGUUCGGUCGC